rnacentral:snRNA from 1 species
GGAUGUGAAGGCAAUCUGUCUGCAACAUCUGUUACCCUAUUGGUCACCAGGGUUAAUUUGGUUGGUGUGGCUGGCUAGGCAGGUGUCCCCUUCCUCCCUCAUCUCUGCAUGUGAAUCUCUCCAUAAGCUGCUUUCUUGGUCAAAGACGAUGAUAUCUGAUUUACAGUAGGAUACCUGACUCAACAUGUACANAGAUCAAACAAUUGGUGAAAAUCCUCAGGCCAAGUGGUCAGGAUGUAUGGUGCUGAGAGAAAUGUCAUAUUUAGGAUGAAACAUGAAGAACAUCUCUUCUUUAU